rnacentral:rRNA from 1 species
UACGGGGGGGGUAAGCGUUGUUCGGAAUUACUGGGCGUAAAGGGCUCGUAGGCGGCCAACUAAGUCAGACGUGAAAUCCCUCAGCUUAACUGGGGAACUGCGUCUGAUACUGGAUGGCUGGAGUUCGGGAGAGGGAUGCGGAAUUCCAGGUGUAGCGGUGAAAUGCGUAGAUAUCUGGAGGAACACCGGUGGCGAAGGCGGCAUCCUGGACCAGUUAUGACGCUGAGGAGCGAAAGCCAGGGGAGCAAACGGG